rnacentral:rRNA from 1 species
UAUGGGCGCAGGCCUGAAACCAGCCAAGUAGCGUGAAGGAUGACUGCCCUNCCGGUUGUAAACUUCUUUUAUAAAGGAAUAAAGUCGGGUAUGUAUACCCGUUUGCAUGUACUUUAUGAAUAAGGAUCGGCUAACUCCGUGCCAGCAGCCGCGGUAAUACGGAGGAUCCGAGCGUUAUCCGGAUUUAUUGGGUUUAAAGGGAGCGUAGAUGGAUGUUUAAGUCAGUUGUGAAAGUUUGCGGCUCAACCGUAAAAUUGCAGUUGAUACUGGAUAUCUUGAGUGCAGUUGAGGCAGGCGGAAUUCGUGGUGUAGCGGUGAAAUGCUUAGAUAUCACGAAGAACUCCGAUUGCGAAGGCAGCCUGCUAAGCUGCAACUGACAUUGAGGCUCGAAAGUGUGGGUAUCAAACAGGAUUAGAUACCCUGGUAGUCCAAGGGCGAAUUC